UUGGGUACCCACGGGUAGUUU
rnacentral:siRNA from 1 species